rnacentral:sRNA from 1 species
UGCUUUUCGAAAGUUGAAAUAUCUAAAUUAAAGUCGCGUUAAGCCCCCAUUUAAAUAUCGAUUACAAAGGGUCGAAAAGUUUGUGAAACCAAUACCGGAAUCAGAGCCACAGAAAGGAGAGCAAGGCAAACAAACGAUAUGCGUAUAGGCCAGGCC